CUUGUCUCAAAGAUUAAGCCAUGCAUGUCUAAGUACAAGCCACAUGAAGGUGAAACCGCGAAUGGCUCAUUAAAUCACACCUAAUAUACUGGAUAUUAUCAGUUACUUGGAUAACUGCGGUAAUUCUGGAGCUAAUACAUGCACUCAAGCCUCGCACUUAGGUGAGGGGCGCUUUUAUUAGAUCAAAACCAAACGCCUUCUUACGGGGGCGUAUUUUUGGUGACUCUGAAUAACCUUUUGCUGAUCGCAUGGCUUGAAGCCGGCGACGUAUCCUUCUAAGGUGUGCCCUAUCAACUGUCGACUGUGGUAUAGUCGACCACAGUGGUUUUGACGGGUAACGGGGAAUUAGGGUUCGAUUCCGGAGAGGGAGCCUGAGAAACGGCUACCACUUCUACGGAAGGCAGCAGGCACGCAAAUUACCCACUGGUCGAAGACCGAGGUAGUGACGAAAAAUAACGAUACCGGACUCAUCCGAGGCCCGGUAAUCGGAAUGAGUACACUUUAAAUCCUUUAACGAGGAACAAUUGGAGGGCAAGUCUGGUGCCAGCAGCCGCGGUAAUUCCAGCUCCAAUAGCGUAUAUUAAAGUUGUUGCGGUCAAAAAGCUCGUAGUUGGAUCUCGCAGGUUGGGGGUGGUUCAUUAUUUAAUGUUUACUGCUCCAUGAACUUGUGUUUUUUGACAGAGGUUCCAAGGUGCUCUUAACCGAGUGUCGUGGGAUGCUGUCAGGUUUACUUUGAAAAAAUUAGAGUGCUCAAAGCAGGCUUUACAAGCUUGAAUAUUGGUGCAUGGAAUAAUAGAAUAGGAUGUUGUGUCCUUUUUGUUGGUUGUAGGAUAUUAACAUAAUGAUUAAUAGGGACAGUCGGGGGCAUUAGUAUUCAGACGACAGAGGUGAAAUUCUUGGACCGUUUGAAGACUAACUACUGCGAAAGCAUUUGCCAAGAAUGUUUUCAUUAAUCAAGAACGAAAGUUAGAGGUUCGA
rnacentral:rRNA from 1 species